UGUGAUUAAAAUUCUAACCCCAUUUACCUUAUGGUAGCUAUCAUCAAAAUUGUGGACAAUAGCUAACAAAGUGGAAACAUAUACAAACAAAUGGAAGUACUCCGAUUUGUGAUUCCAUAUGCGCCCUAAUAGCCAGGAUGGUGAAACAUUAUCUCAACUAAUCAGGAUACAUGGUCCUAAUCUAAUCACAUAAAACAAUAUGGUUUAGAAAUGCUAAGCAGUUCCCAUCGUUUUUUUUUUUUUGUUAGAGCCCUAUCACAUCUAUUUUCUAUCAAUGGAAUAGUAGUGAAAAGACACUUGUAAUGUGGGAGGAGCUGUAAAGGCACAAAGGUUUGAGAUAAACUGCCAACAACUUUUAAAUCAUAUAGAAGUAAUUGCGCUUCAUUUCGUGUGGCCUUCUUGUUCUGCCAUGCCUUGUGCUGGUUUAAAUGCCUUACUUCUAUGUAAUUGCUGUGAUUAUAAUGUUGUCUACCUUUUAGCAUUAUGAACAAAGGGACUGUGAUGAAACUUUAGUAAUGUGUCAUAUGAUUGUAGAGUAAAUGGUGGAAAGCAGAAAUGCAUUUGUUUUCAACCCCCUCUUUGUCGUCUCCGCUAGCCCUUUAUUUUCUUCUUGUCUGCUGUCUGUAAUAAAAUGAGCAAUUCCAACUUCAUAUUUACUUUUAUUGUUAUCUUUUUAAAUUAAGUGCUAGCCUUUAAUAUUUGGAUAAUGACUAUGUGGAGUUUGAGGUGUCUUACCAUAUUGCAUUUUGAUUCUUGUUUUACGAUACUACUUUUAUUAUUAAUAGUAGUAGUAUUAUUAAUUUUUCAUUAUCUUCUUUUAUAUUCAAAUAUAUUUUAAUAUUUUGGUAGAACCUUAUGCCAUUUGCAAUCAUGGGUGGCAUGUAACAAGUUUCAGGACUUCUCAACUGAUGUGAUAUGGUGAUUUGCAUCUGGAGAAUGUAUACUAUUCAGAAAUGAAAGAUGCUGGUUUCUUUGAUGCUGAUUAGGAGUGAUGCAGUGAUAUUCUGGCCGGAUGACUCUGUAUAUUAAAGUAACUUCCAGAUGGCAAAAAUUUAUGUACUUGAAGAGAUGCUUGUUCGUUGCUUGCUGGACUCGUUCUUUUACAAUAGAUGUAGUGUGCCUCUGGCACUUGGAACGCUUUGUUGUGUACCAAUUAGGAACUGGUUAGACCGCAUUAAAAAAUAUAACUCUGUAUAAUACAGAAUAAGGGAAGCAUAAAGGUAUAUUUUAUGAUAUGAAUUUGAUAUUAUUUGGAUCCAUUAUGUAUUUUGAGAUAUUUUAAGUUUCUUAGUGUUGAACUAUAAUAAUGUUUUGAACUAUUAGAUUGCAGAAUUAUGAAAUGAAGUUGAUGUGUA